AAGCACCAUUACCAUCUCCUGAAAUCUUGCUAUUUAUUCAAUCAAGCAAUUAAACUCUAUUCUUGGAAACUUGGAUACUACUUUAAUGAAACAGAAAAAAAAAUUCCCUUGAAUUCAGAUCAACCAAUUUUUCAUUACAUCAAAGACCAAGCAAUGUGAAUGUAAAGGAGCCGAAUAAGAUAUCUUUUUUCCUAGAGAAACUGAAAUCACAAAGACCAAAAAGUAU
rnacentral:misc_RNA from 1 species